UGGAGCCGAGGACACUGUCUCCUCAUAUGACCCAACUCACCGAACUCGUAGCAACGACCUGGAGCUGGAGAAGGGGACUGAAGGGAACCCCUCACUGCAGAUGAACCCUGGGCUGAAGAGGUAGGGGUAGUACUCUGAGCUGGAAGGGCGCUAAGUGAAGACUUGCCCUGCUGAUAACCCUGAUGACCACAGCCUGAAGAAGCCCUACUGGACUCUGUAUGACAUGACUGAGGAGUUCUGAAGGAAAGACCUCUGCUGCGCUGGAACUGGCCCCUAGACAGGCAAGAGUAGUACUCUGAGCUGGAAGAGCGCUAAGUGAAGACUGGCCCUCCUGAUGAACCUGAUUACCACGGCCUGAAGAAGACCCACUAGACUUUGUACGACCUAACUAAGGAGGUCUGAAGGAACGACCUCAGCUGUGAUGGAACUGGCCCCUAGAUGGAGCACCGCUGAAACUACCUGAACCUCGAGGCCUUUUGGCCUCCCUCUCUUCAUGCUCCCGACGACGAUCUCCUUUAAUCUGACGAGCCACAUCAACUACCUCCUCAAACGAGGCUGCCACAACUCUCCCUCUAGUCAUCAAAAUGCGAAUGGGAUAGUUUAUGCCAUCCAUGAACCUCCUAAUCCUCUCCCGAUAUGUCGGGAUCAUCCAAGUGGGAUGCCGAGCUAGCUGCGUAAACCUCAACUCAUACUGGGUCACAGUUAUGUCCCCCUUAACCAACCACUCAAACUGACGACGCAGCUCUUCCCUGCGAGACUACGGUACAUACUUCUCCAGGAAGAGAGCGGAGAAUUCCUGCCAAGUAAGGGGCGCUGCUCCAACAGGCCUACGCCUCUCAAACUCUUCCCACCAUGUAAAUGCAGGCCCUGAGAACUAGAAGGUAGUAAAAACCACUCCACUAGACUCCAAUAUCCCUGCAGUGCGAAGCAUACGCUGACACUUGUCCAGAAAUCCCUAAGAAUCCUUUCCCUCUGUACCACUGAAUGUCGGAGGCUGGAUCCUGCCGAACCUCUCCAAUCGACGCUGCUUGUUAUCUGGCGUAACUGGAACCACAAAGUCUGGAGCUGGUACGACUGGCGCAACUUGGGCAACUCCCGGUGUCUGCAAUCCAUAAAUACCCUGCUCGGGUGUGCGGGCAGCGGGGGUCUGCUGACCACCACCGGUUUGAG
rnacentral:lncRNA from 1 species